AUUUGUUAGGUUGGUGCAAAAGUAAUUGCGGUUUUUGCAAUUACUUUCAAUAGCAAAAACUGCAAUUACUUUCGCACCAACCUAAUAAUU
rnacentral:pre_miRNA from 1 species